rnacentral:rRNA from 1 species
AUUGAACGCUGGCGGCAUGCCUUACACAUGCAAGUCGAACGGCAGCACGGGAGCAAUCCUGGCGGCGAGUGGCGAACGGGUGAGUAAUAUAUCGGAACGUGCCCAGUAUUGGGGGAUAGCCCGGCGAAAGCCGGAUUAAUACCGCAUACGACCUACGGGUGAAAGCAGGGGAUCGCAAGACCUUGCGUUAUUGGAGCGGCCGAUAUCAGAUUAGCUAGUUGGUGGGGUAAAAGCCUACCAAGGCGACGAUCUGUAGCUGGUCUGAGAGGACGACCAGCCACACUGGGACUGAAACACUGCCUAGACGCCUACGGGAUGCAGCAGUGGGUAAUUUUGGACAAUGGGCGCAAGCCUGAUCCAGCCAUGCCGCGUGUGGGAAGAAGGCCUUCGGGUUGUAGACCACUUUUGUCAGGGAAGAAACGCUCUGGGCUAAUACCCUGGGGUAAUGACGGUACCUGAAGAAUAAGCACCGGCUAACUACGUGCCAGCCGCCGCGGUAAAAC